UACGUAGGGUGCGAGCGUUGUCCGGAAUUAUUGGGCGUAAAGGACUCGUAGGCGGUCUGUUGCGUCGGGAGUGAAAACUCAGGGCUUAACCCUGAGCCUGCUUCCGAUACGGGCAGACUAGAGGUAUGCAGGGGAGAACGGAAUUCCUGGUGUAGCGGUGAAAUGCGCAGAUAUCAGGAGGAACACCGGUGGCGAAGGCGGUUCUCUGGGCAUUACCUGACGCUGAGGAGCGAAAGUGUGGGGAGCGAACAGG
rnacentral:rRNA from 1 species